AGCCGGGGGGGUGGACGGACCCGGGUGGCUGCCGGUCCCCACGGCCGCGCCCACGAGGUCCGCUCUGCUCCCGUGCGUGAUUCCCACCACAGGCCCCGUGAAGCUCCUCUCGCCUCGCCUAACUAGAACUGGCCUGGCAGGCGCUCCGUUUCUCGCCAUCAGGACCCCUGCCGGAGCCGGCGCCCCACUCCGGUGGCUUCUCACUGCGCGGUGUCCCGCCUGCCAGAGUUUUUGUCAGUUACGUGCGGGUGUGUGUAGAACGUAUAUAAGCACAUACAGUAAACCCUUGGGUCGCGAGGCACUUGUUCGGCACCUGUGUCCGCAAGACGAGCAGACGUUUCGAAUCGAUUUUACCUUGAUGAACGAGCGAGGUCUUGCAGUAGGAGUCCCAUGAUCGCAACUGAGCCAGUGGUGGUUCUCUCUCUCUUGCUCGCUCGCUGUGGGAUUAUGGGUGAUCAUCUCCCACGCUCAGAUGCUCGGUCUCAGGCUACAGCUUUUGGCAGAAAUCGGUGAUUUUUCGGAACGUUGGAAGGUGCCCACAACUGGCGUUAGUGUAUCUUUUUGUCACUUCAAAGCACCUCUGGACAGCCCUUUGCUUUUCCAGACAAGAGUGAGCUUAGGCACGCUUUGCUUCACUCUAGGUCAUUGGACAGGUUCCCUGUUAAAGUUGCACGAAAACAAAAAGAACCCAUUGAGCCAACAGACGCCAGUGAUUCCGUUAGAGUGAAAGUCAUCCUACACAAUAACCCUCCUCUCUCUUGUCCCUCCCACACCAGCCACGAAGGUUUUCAAAGGGAAGUGCAGGUUAAUUUACUUUUUUUUUAUAUUUUGUGUCUUCUUUAUUAUUUUGUGUUACAGUAUCGCAGUCCUUUUUACCUGAAUAUUUUUGGGUUGUGGAACGAAUCAUCCGAGUUUCCUUUAUUUCUGCUGGGGAAAUUCGCUUUGAUGUAUAAGUGCUUUGGAUUACAAGCAGGUUUCUGGAACAAACGAGGCUCGCAAAUCAAGGUUUUGCUGCGUGUAACUGUGACACGUCAAUCACGUGUCCAUUUACACGUGUCCCUCAUAUUUAUCAAAAUAGUUCACGUGUCCAUAUAUGGUGGACGGUGAACACACAUCUGAAUAAAUGGCUACACAGUGUUGCCCGUGUGGCCAAAACCAAGUGUAAGGGCACUGUUCACCUUCCCACGUGAUUGGGGUUCUUUUCUGUUUUGUUUUGUUUUGUUUUUAAAUUGAAAUCUCAAAUUGUGUUUUCAUUAGAAGAUAAAUCCUAAAUGUUUUCUCUUGGGGAAACAAAAACCUGCAAAGGCACAAGAUUUAGAGCAAAAUGUUUCUAAAUAUUACGCAUUUCCCGGGAGGCUGACAUUCUGAACAUGGAACAGAAUGGAGAACUCUGUGGAUGAGUGAGUGCGGGUGUCCCGAGAGCUGAUGUCACACAGCCUGGGUUCUGCGGGGUCAGAGAGACCCGUCGGUGACUGUUCACCCAGCAAGCUGCGGCCGGAGACGGGGCAUCGGAAUGUCAGGUCUUAAAACGUGCACGACAGCUGUCCGUGAAGAUGACUGUGGGAUCGUUAGGGCUUUCUGACGCAAGGGUCUUGUUCCGGAACAUUGUUCUUUUCUGCUGUGGUGUGCGGUUGGCCUCAUGCAUCUCAGGGCCUCGGGACUCAGGGAUUGUUGCUUUUUCUCUGGGAGUGUUGGUCUCUCUGAUCUUCAAAGCCUUUGAGUAGACUGACUGGCUUCGCGAGGCUCCCAGUAUUUGAUGAGCUAAAUCGCUUACUCCGGGUAAAGUGGAUUUUGAGGAAAUCAGUUAGCUUUAGCAGGGAAAAUGGCAGAGAAGAGCGUGCGAUCUACGGUACAGACAGGGGCGGCGGGCUCCCGGUCGGUGCAGGGCACUCCUUGUCUCUGAGCUGGGGGAAGGGUUUGGCUGGAGGCUUCCAGAAUCUUCUGAAAUGUUGAGAUGUCGUGAUCCGGUUGUCAGUGGGAGGACCAGAAACAUUUUUCCCCCUCAAGUAUAUGUCAUUUACGAAAUGGGUUUGCAUAUUCUCAGCACCUCACCGCGUGGCCUUUUGCAAAAGACCUUCCCUUCAUUAUUCCCAUGGGAGAUUAAAAAAAAAUUUUUUUUUCAAUGUUUAUUUUUGAGAAAGACAGUGCAAGUGGGGGAGGAGCAGAGAGAGAGAGGGAGACACAGAAUCGGAAGCAGGCGCCGGCUCUGAGAGCACAGAGCCUGCCGCGGGGCUCGAACUCAUGAACCGGGGAGAUCACGACCUGAGCUGAGGUCGGACACUUAACUGGCUGAGCCGCCCAGGCGCUCCCUGGGAGAUUUUUAAGCCUGAUGUACGGUGAGGGGUCAGUUCUGGCUCUGAAAGUGCAUACACCUGUCAUGGGCCCGAGUGUUUGGGAAACCAGUUAUGAGGUUGGGCCUCUUGUGACUUAGCAGCCUGGGAAAAGGAAAGGUUCUUCCUGCUCCCUGACCUUCUGCCUUCCUGCUCUCUGCACUGGGCAUUUCAGUCCAUUUCCAUCACGAAUAAACAUUCUAUCCCCAUGGCUGCCCCCGCCCCCCCCCCCCCCCCGCCAAGUUCACGCACGUUUUAAACGCAUGGAGGGCUCUGUGGCUUGGGGCUCGUGGUUCCCCGGCCGAAGGGGGCGUGCUGAGGUGGCCGCGUGGGAGGGAAGCCACGUUCACUGCUUGCCUGCGCUUCUCUGCCCUGGUGGGUGUGAGAUGCUCCGAGAUCAUGAUGGCUAUUGAUUUGGAGAUGAUGAUCGCCAUCGGCGUCUGCUUACUGAUGGCCGCCUGGGUGCUGAUGUGCUGUUUCCUCUGUCUUUGCUGCAAAGUGUCCAGAUCGCUGGAGUGAGUGGGAGAGGCGGAAGGGCAGAGAGGGAAACAGGACAGUGGCAUCGGCACAAAAGGCAGGUGACUUGGAGAAGGCCAUCCGGGGACUCGGCUGUCACCUGGCUCCCUACUCUCCGGCACUCAGCGACAGAGCCUCAGAGAGGGGUCCUAUGGCAGGGGUCCGGAGAGGUGGCCUGGCCCGCGUCUCCCGGCCCCAGCCCCGUUGCGUGAAAUACAGGCUGUCUGUGUUGA